AUUGAACGCUGGCGGCAUGCCUUACACAUGCAAGUCGAACGGUAACAGGUCUUCGGAUGCUGACGAGUGGCGAACGGGUGAGUAAUAUAUCGGAACGUGCCUAGUAGUGGGGGAUAACUACUCGAAAGAGUGGCUAAUACCGCAUGAGAUCUACGGUUGAAAGCAGGGGAUCGCAAGACCUUGUGCUACUAGAGCGGCCGAUGGCAGAUUAGGUAGUUGGUGGGAUAAAAGCUUACCAAGCCGACGAUCUGUAGCUGGUCUGAGAGGACGAUCAGCCACACUGGGACUGAGACACGGCCCAGACUCCUACGGGAGGCAGCAGUGGGGAAUUUUGGACAAUGGGCGCAAGCCUGAUCCAGCAAUGCCGCGUGCAGGAUGAAGGCCUUCGGGUUGUAAACUGCUUUUGUACGGAACGAAAAGCCCUGGGUUAAUACCCUGGGGUCAUGACGGUACCGUAAGAAUAAGCACGGCUAACUACGUGCCAGCCGCCGCGGUAACAC
rnacentral:rRNA from 1 species